rnacentral:rRNA from 1 species
UACAGAGGGUGCGAGCGUUAAUCGGAAUUACUGGGCGUAAAGCGCACGUAGGUGGCGACGUAAGUCGGGUGUGAAAGCCCCGGGCUCAACCUGGGAAUUGCAUUCGAGACUGCAUUGCUGGAGUACGGAAGAGGAGGGCGGAAUUCCCGGUGUAGCGGUGAAAUGCGUAGAGAUCCGGAAGAACACCGGUGGCGAAGGCGGCCUGCUGGGCAGUAGCUGACGCUGAUGCGCGACAGCGUGGGGAGCAAACAGG